GCGGUUGUGGCGAAGUGGUUAACGCUGCGGCUUGUGGCGCCGUUAUGCGUGGGUUCGAUCCCCAUCAGCCGCCCCA
rnacentral:tRNA from 1 species